rnacentral:rRNA from 1 species
UACGGGGGGAGCAAGCGUUGUUCGGAUUUACUGGGCGUAAAGGGCGCGUAGGCGGCCAGCACAAGUCAGUUGUGAAAUCUCCGGGCUUAACUCGGAAAGGUCAACUGAUACUGUGCGGCUAGAGUGCGGAAGGGGCAACUGGAAUUCUCGGUGUAGCGGUGAAAUGCGUAGAUAUCGAGAGGAACACCUGCGGCGAAGGCGGGUUGCUGGGCUGACACUGACGCUGAAGCGCGAAAGCUAGGGGAGCGAACGGG